rnacentral:lncRNA from 1 species
AAGGGUCGCCGGUGGGAGUUCGGUUGCGGCAGUGGUCGCCUCGGACGUCGAUGGCGGCGCCCUCCUCGUACCGCCCAGGGUGGUCUAGGUACCGCGAGAAGGGGAGAGGAAUGCGGCGCAGUGGGUUGAGGAGGAGGCGAGACGUGGUUGGAUUUUAUACCCCGAUCGAGCUCGGUCAACGCCGGGGAAGCGCGACGGUUGUUACGCGGAGCGGACGGACUCGCGCGAGGAAGACGGAGCUGACUUCCGUGGGGAACUGACAAGAUGGCCCCACGCGACAGCGGCAGAGUACCGUGAGCGCGCGCGAUAGCAUGAGGGGCUGGCCCGUGGGCCCUUGCUGUCGGCGCACGCGGGGACGCUGGCUUCCGGGACCCGCCUGUCAGCCGCAGAGAAACCCCAGGGCGCGCGCGGUGAGCGACGUGGGCCGCGCGGUAUCCAAGUCAGAUUGGGCCGAAUUCCAGGUUCGUUGGCCCAUCAGGUAUAGUAUUCCUUUUCCUUUUUCUUUUAUUUUUCUUUUAUUUUCUCCUUUCUCCAUUCUUUCACAAAUUCAAAUUUAAAUCCUAAUUUGAAUUCAAACUUGUUUGUGAGCUUCUUAACUGAGUUAAGUACUUAAAUUAAAAUAUUAGUGGGGACAAAAUAUAUUCUUUCAUACAUUUAUUUUCCUCUAUUUUGUAUAACCUCCUCCUUCUCUCUUUUCUUAGUUCUAGGAUUAUUUAGGAUUUAAAUCCCCAUUUGGAUAUUCACCUAUUUCUUUUUGCAUUAUUAUAAUAUUGUCACAAAAUGCACACACAAAUAAAAUAUUCAGCAUGAUGCAAUGAUUUAGUAGCAUCUCUCUUUAUUAAUUGUUUUUUUGGACAUGGUGCUCACAUAUGAUGAUGCAUAAAGAUCAACCUCACAUGAAGAGAAAUUGUUUCCCUACUGGUAUUAUUCCUAGCAAUUACAAAGUGGGUGUUACAAAUCCUACCCCCCUUAAAAAUAAUCUCGUCCUCGAGAUUAGUAGAAAAAGGGAUCCAACAAGUUUGGUUUGUAGUCUAUGCUUUAGUUUCUAGUUGGUUUUAAUACAAAAUGAUUUGUUUUUUUUAAUAUCAAAAAUUAUCAGGUGAUUAGGAAAGCAUGGGUAUAUAUAUAGCUACUUGAUUAUGUAGGAUAAAAGAUGUAUCCAAAGCAUGGAUAGGUUUGGGUAGGGUAAGGAAGGACUCCAUCCUGGAUUGUGGAUCUUGACUCAUCUUGGUGAUCCCGCUUGAUCCUUGAAGACUUGAGUUGGUGCUUAUCCUUCCUUGAUGAGGUUGAUCAUCUUCAGUCUCCAAUCUUGGUGUCUCCAUCUGAGCUAGGGAGCUGUAGUUAAGAUAGCUGGGGUCUAUGGAUAAGACAUUUUUUUUAUCAAUAGGUUCACAUAGAUGGAUUAUGCAACCUAUUGGGAGUGUAUGACUGAGUUGAUCUAUGGCACUAACUUAGGCUUAAGUGAAUUAGGAGUAUGGUUUUAUUCUUUGUACCAGCAUUAAGUCACUCACUCUAAAUUAGAUCAUAAUAGAUUAGAUACAAUCUAGAUUAGGUUGGAUAUGACUAGAUUAGACUAGUUAAGAUCUAAAUAAAUUUUGGAUUAGCUCAUGGUUGUUAUUCUAGAGUGGGAUAAAUAUGCUAAGUAGGGCAAGAUGAAUCCAUAAGGAUAAGGUAGAAUCUUUUGAGGUAAGUUAGAUCUAUUAGGAUGAGAUAAAAUCUUUUCAAGGUAAGAUGAAUCUAUUAAGAUAAGGUGGAUCUAUUAAGGUAAGAGAGAGUCUUUUAAGAUAAGAUGGAUCUAUGAGUGUAGGAUAUAAUCUUUUAAGAUGAGAUGGAUAUUGUUAGGCUAGAUACUUUAAUGAGGGAUAAUCUAGUUUGUCUAGUUAGUUUUAUAAGCAUUAUGUAUAUGCAGAUGUAUUUGUGGACAUUACUCCACAACUCAUCACACUCAAUCAAAGAUCCAAAUCAGACAAGUAUCAUAAAAACAAACAUUCAAGUGUAUAGACACCUAUAAAAAUAGUUUUGUUUUUGUUCCUAAGAAUAGGUCUCCUAUUCCUAAAGGUCACUUUAGGCACAGGAUUUCAAAGUGUGAAACCCACAUUUGUCUUUAGAAAGAAAAGGUAAGAAUAAUCAGAGUAAGCGGAAAUAGAUGAGAAGGAUUAAGAUAAGUUUAGAAAAGAAUCAGAGUAGCAAAGAUAAGUAGACAAUGGUUGUCCAGUUCUAUCUAGGUUUCGUCCUACAGUCAACAUUCCUCUGAUACCACUUCUGUCACACCCGGGUUUUAGGGGCACCAAGACCCGGGCGCGAACAUAAACACCAGAUAUGCUGGGACCAAGUCUCACACAUAUGAUGCAUAGUGGCACAGGAUCGAAUGUCACAUCUUUACUAUAUAACAGGAAUUCUAUACAAAAUAAUUAAAUAAUUACAUCAUAUGAGGAAACGAUCCAGCAACCCAAAGUUGACUGGGAGACGACGGCCUAGACCACUCACGAACUCAUCACAGCAUCCUCCACGCGCCUCAUCCUGUGGUACCUGCUCUUGACCUGUGGGGGGGUGUGAGACAGCAAGAGUGAGCUCACAUACGUUCAUCGCUCAACAAGUUGUGGGGAAUAAUGUGCAUGAACUCGCCAAAGGUGGGAGCUCACGUGAAGUGUAAGGCUUACCAAAGAGGAUGGUUAGAGCUGAGCAUUGCUUUUAAAGUUGGUCAAAAUUUUAUUAGCAAUUACUAAGUAUAAGUAAAUACCAACCCAAUUAAGUAGUAGAACAAAAGUAACAACCUCACCUGCGAUGCAAUGCAUAUGACAAAUUGAGUUUAAGUUCCAUAAUUUACUCAUGUGAGUGUCCGAGCUGCUCAUGACCGUGAGCACGGCUAGUAUACCAGUUUUACACUCUGCAGAGAUUGCGCAUCUUUACCCACAAGUCAUGUUACCCAUCUGCCAAGGGAUCGCGACUUCCCAUACACCUCUACCGAGGAGGCGAGGCAGGGUAACACUACGAGGCCUUUACAAAGUUCUACUAGCUUCAGAAAACCCGCUACAGUUUAUAGGAAGCUCCAAUGCAGGAAUCCCUUGCAGGACCGCCAUCGCAGCAAAAUCCUCCCGAGGGCCUCCCUACACUGACCACUCCCCUACUGCCCUUGCCCCUUUCGGGUAAGGUAGUCUUCCACUAGCUUUCCUAAUUAAUCGGCCAAGGGCGUCCCAUUAAACCCUUGUGGUAGCACUGUUUUCCCGGGUGGUUCUCCAUGUUCCAAUUAACAUAAUGAUCUUAUCAUGAACAGUAAAUAACAACUGAUAAUAAAAGUGUAAUCAUGAAUAAUGUAUCUCCAUGCCCAAAACCACAUAUAGCACUAGCAAGUACUACCCAAAAAGUUUAGUGGAGUCAAGGUAUAAAGAUAAUCAAACUAGGGUAACCUGUUGGGUCCCAUCAAAAUUAACCUAUGCAGAUCAUUAUGAUUAAUCAGAACAUGACUGGGUAGAAAGAAGUGAUCAAGGGCACAACUUGCCUGGGACUUGAGAUUCCAGGUACCAGGAUGAUCUUCAGAUGACUCAUGACCUCACUGCUAGUCGUAGCAAUACAAACAAACAUUGUAUAGGCAAAAUUAACAUUAAACCAAACAUAUAUUCAAAAUACACAGUAAUAAUCUACACAUUAAAAUAAAAUUCUAGGAACAGAAAUCAUAAUUUUUGGAGUUAUAGAUUUUAAGUUAUGAAUUUUCAAAGGUUUUAUGUGUUUAAAAUAAGAUUAAGUGAGAAAUAAAUUUUCUUACUGUUUUCAUGACAUAACAGAGGCUCUAGGUGAUAGAGAAUUAAAUUACAAAAAUUUAGAAAGUGGAAUGGCUCAAUUUGGAGUUAGUAUGAAUUUUCUAUGAAUUUAUAAAGUUCUAGCAAUUAUUUUUCUAUUAAAAAUCUAUUUAAUAAUCAUUUUUCUCUGGUUUUAUUAUGUUCUGGACUGGGCGCACCAUUACAGAAAAGUUCAGGGGCUACUGCGCAAAGAUCCUAAGACACAGAGAACAGUGCCCACGGACGGCGGGUUCAAUCCUAAAAACCAGAGGGGCUCAUACGUAAAAUGUUAGCCGCGAAGGGGUAUGGACAGAUCUAAGCCGUCCGAUCGUGGACCGAAGGCUCAGAUUAGAUUAGGACUUGUAAUGAUUCGGGAUGAAACCGAGACCAACCGAUCUCAAAUGAACGGCCCGGAUUAGACUUGGGGCAAUCCGAACCGGUACGCUACAUGGACUAUUGGAUCAAGAUCCAACGGCCACUAUUUAAUGAGGGCGUGAUCUAAUCCUACCCGCAAGAUCACGAUCCAAGGGCUGAAAACCAACCAACCCGCACGGUCUAACCCACACCACCCGAUGGCCAUCCGACGGCUGUGGCGCUUUCCCCCAAUCCCCAUCGGUCUACGGUGGCGCCGCCAGAGAAUCACGGCGGAGACCCACCGGAGCACACGAAAUCCGGCAGACCCAAGCCCCAAUCUCAAAUUCACUCGACCUCCAUGAGAUUCACGACAACACGAACCUAUGUCGGCCCCCAAUUCCAACCGCGACACUGCGCAGACCCCCGGCUCACGACACAGUCGAGUGCACGGCGGAGACAAUCACGCCGACGAGCAAUUACUCAGGUUCUACGGUUCGAACACAGCGCGGUAUGAACUCCUAGUGAUCAAAUACGGUCCCGCAAGCGCGGGGAGGAACUUACCGCCAAGGGUCGCCGGUGGGAGUUCGGUUGCGGCAGUGGUCGCCUCGGACGUCGAUGGCGGCGCCCUCCUCGUACCGCCCAGGGUGGUCUAGGUACCGCGAGAAGGGGAGAGGAAUGCGGCGCAGUGGGUUGAGGAGGAGGCGAGACGUGGUUGGAUUUUAUACCCCGAUCGAGCUCGGUCAACGCCGGGGAAGCGCGGCGGUUGUUACGCGGAGCGGACGGACUCGCGCGAGGAAGACGGAGCUGACUUCCGUGGGGAACUGACAA